GCACCUCAGCAACCCAAUGGACUCUGUUAAGUGGUCAGUUUGGGUAACAGAUGGUGCUAUAGCGAUUCACUGUAAAUCCAGAUGGACCUCCUCUUCCCGUGGAGCCUGUCUCUACACCUUUGACACAUUA
ensembl:snoRNA small nucleolar RNA SNORA55